rnacentral:rRNA from 1 species
GACGAACGCUGGCGGCGUGCCUAAUACAUGCAAGUAGAACGCUGAAGAGAGGAGCUUGCUCUUCUUGGAUGAGUUGCGAACGGGUGAGUAACGCGUAGGUAACCUGCCUGGUAGCGGGGGAUAACUAUUGGAAACGAUAGCUAAUACCGCAUGAUAUUAAUUGUCGCAUGAUAAUUAAUUGAAAGAUGCAAUUGCAUCACUACCAGAUGGACCUGCGUUGUAUUAGCUAGUUGGUGAGGUAACGGCUCACCAAGGCGACGAUACAUAGCCGACCUGAGAGGGUGAUCGGCCACACUGGGACUGAGACACGGCCCAGACUCCUACGGGAGGCAGCAGUAGGGAAUCUUCGGCAAUGGGGGGAACCCUGACCGAGCAACGCCGCGUGAGUGAAGAAGGUUUUCGGAUCGUAAAGCUCUGUUGUAAGAGAAGAACGGGUGUGAGAGUGGAAAGUUCACACUGUGACGUAUCUACCAGAAAGG